AGCCUUCUAUAUGCGUGCUGAGAUUUCGCAACACACCAGACCGCAAGGGAUGAUGAGACUCCCAAGAUAAGUGAAGCG
rnacentral:pre_miRNA from 1 species